UUAGCUCAGUUGGUAGAGCAACUGAUUUGUAAUCAGUAGGUCGCGAGUUCGACUCUUGCA
rnacentral:tRNA from 1 species